AUGGGCUGUGAGCACAGCCUUUUGACUGAAGCUCUUUCCACAUUCCGAGCACUGAUAUGGUUUUUCCCCUGUGUGAAUUCUUUGAUGGGCCUUAAACACAGCCUUGUGACUAAAGCUCUUUCCACAUUCCAAGCACUGAUAUGGUGUCUCCCCUCUAUGAAUUUUCUGAUGGGAAUUGAGAUAGGAUCUCUGAUUAAAGCACUUUCCACAUUCCAAGCACUUAUGGGUUUUCCCCGCACUGUGAGUUAUUUGAUGGGAAGUGAGAUGGGACCUCCGACGGAAGCUCCUUCCACAUUGCAAGCACUGAUAUGGUUUCUCCCCUGUAUGAAUUAUUUGAUGGGCUGUGAGUGCAACUCUUUGACUGAAGCUCUUUCCACAUUCCAAGCACUGAUAUGGUUUCUCCCCUGUAUGAAUUCUUUGAUGGGCCUUGAGCACAUGCCUGUAACUGAAGCUCUUUCCACAUUCCAAACAGUGAUGGGGUUUCUUCCCACUGUGAAGUAUUUGGUGGGAAGUGAGAUGGGCUCUUUGCCUGAAGCUCCUUCCGCAUUCCAUGCACUGAUAUGGCUUCUCUCCUGUAUGAAUUCUUUGAUGAGCUGUAAGCUUAGCUUUCUUCCUGAAGUUCUUUCCACAUUCCAAACACUGAUAUGGUUUCUCUCCUGUAUGAAUGGUUUGAUGGGUCGUGAGAUUGGACAUCUGACUGAAGCUCUUUCCGCAUUCCAUGCACUGAUAUGGUUUCUCCCUGCUGUGAGUUCUUGGAUGGAAAGUGAGACAUUUCUUCUGACGAAACGUCUUACCACCUUCCAAGCACUGAUAGCGAUUCUUCCCAAUGGAAUUUAUUUUAGGGGAAGUGGAAUAAGAGCUCUGACUAUAACUCUCUCCACAUUCCAAAUAUUUAUACACCUUCCCCACUCUGUGAAUGUCUCCCUUGUUCAUAAUUUUCAAUCCAUCAGCACCUGCAUCAAAGAGAGAAACAGAUUAGAACCUCAGAAAGAAAUGGAGCCCCAAAUUAUUCAAAUUAUGGAGCACUGCUAA
rnacentral:lncRNA from 1 species